rnacentral:lncRNA from 1 species
AUGGUGGAAAAUAAGUAUUUGUUCAAUAACAAAAGUUUCUCAAUACUUUGUUAUAUACCCUUUGUCAUUGCCAACAGAGGUCAAAUUUUGGCCCAUUCCUCCAUGCAGAUCUCCUCUAGAGCAGUGAUGUUUUGGGGCUGUUGCUGGGCAACACGGACUUUCAACUCCCUCCAAAGAUUUUCUAUGGGGUCGAGAUCUGGAGACUGGCUAGGCCACUCCAGGACCUUGAAAUGCUUCAUACGAAGCCCGGGCGGUGUGUUUGGGAUCAUUGUCAUGCUGAAAGACUCAGCCACGUUUCAUCUUCAAUGCCUUGCUGAUGGAAGGAGGUUUUCACUCAAAAUCGCACGAUACAUGGCCCCAUUCAUUCUUUCCUUUACACGGAUCAGUCGUCCUGGUCCCUUUGCAGAAAAACAACCCCAAAGCAUGAUGUUUCCACCCCCAUGCUUCACAGUAGGUAUGGUGUUCUUUGGAUGCAACUCAGCAUUCUUUGUCCUCCAAACACGACAAGUUGAGUUUUUACCAAAAAGUUAUAUUUUGGUUUCAUCUGGCCAUAUGACAUUCUCCCAAUCUUCUUCUGGAUCAUCCAAAUGCUCUCUAGCAAACUUCAGACGGCCCUGGACAUGUACUGGCUUAAGCAGGGGGACACGUCUGGCACUGCAGGAUUUGAGUCCCUGGCGGCGUAGUGUGUUACUGAUGGUAGGCUUUGUUACUUUGGUCCCAGCUCUCUGCAGGUCAUUCACUAGGUCCCCCCGUGUGGUUCUGGGAUUUUUGCUCACCGUUCUUGUGUUCAUUUUGACCCCACGGGGUGAGAUCUUGCGUGGAGCCCCAGAUCGAGGGAGAUUAUCAGUGGUCUUGUAUGUCUUCCAUUUCCUAAUAAUUGCUCCAACAGUUGAUUUCUUCAAACCAAGCUGCUUACCUAUUGCAGAUUCAGUCUUCCCAGCCUGGUGCAGGUCUACAAUUUUGUUUCUGGUGUCUUUUGACAGCUCUUUGGUCUUGGCCAUAGUGGAGUUUGGAGUGUGA